rnacentral:rRNA from 1 species
AUUGAACGCUGGCGGCAGGCCUAACACAUGCAAGUCGAGCGGAUGAAGGGUGCUUGCUUCUGGAUUCAGCGUCGGACGGGUGAGUAAUGCCUAGGAAUCUGCCGGGUAGUGGGGGAUAACGUCCGGAAACGGGCGCUACUACCGCAUACGUCCUGAGGGUGAAACAGGGGGGUCUUCGGACCUCACGCUAUCAGAUGAGUCUAGGUCGGGUUAGCUAGUUGGUGGGGUAAAGGCUUACUUAGGAGGCGAUCCGUAACUGGACUGAGAGGAUGAUCAGUCAGACUGGAAGUGAGACACGGUCCAGACUCCUACGGGAGGCAGCAGUGGGGAAUAUUGGACAAUGGGCGAAAGCCUGAUCCAGCCAGGCCGCGUGUGUGAGGAAGGUCUUCGGAUUGGAAAGCACUUUAAGUUGGGAGGAAGGGGAGUAAGUUAAUACCUUGCUGUGUUGAAGGUACCAACAGAAUAAGCACCGGCUAACUUCGUG